AACCAAGCUUUUGUCUGCAUCGGACAUUGUGCGGCGGUUUAUCACAGGGAAAAAAUCUUUCAAUUUAGGGCGUGUUUUCCAGGCAGGGUGCUCCCUAAUUAUUUGAUGCACCACAAGGGGUAGUGUGGGCCAUAAUUGAAGAAAAUAUUCUUCAAUAGAUGCGGCCUGACCCAUAUCUUUCAAUGCUGGACGUGGCUGUAUAUCACCCCAAUGCUGACAGACAUUUCUGAUCAACCGAAGACAAUGCGUAUAUCUGCUACCAUCAUAG